rnacentral:rRNA from 1 species
CAGCAGCCACGGGAAUACGGAGGGAGCUAGCGUUGUUCGGAAUUACUGGGCGUAAAGCGCGCGUAGGCGGUUACUCAAGUCAGAGGUGAAAGCCCGGGGCUCAACCCCGGAACUGCCUUUGAAACUAGGUGACUAGAAUCUUGGAGAGGUCAGUGGAAUUCCGAGUGUAGAGGUGAAAUUCGUAGAUAUUCGGAAGAACACCAGUGGCGAAGGCGACUGACUGGACAAGUAUUGACGCUGAGGUGCGAAAGCGUGGGGAGCAAACAGGAUUAGAUACCCCAGUAGUCCCUGUCUCUUAUAC